AGGCGGAAUGUGUAGUGUAGCGGUGAAAUGCAUAGAUAUUACACAGAACACCAAUUGCGAAGGCAGCUUACUAAACUAUAACUGACGCUGAUGCACGAAAGCGUGGGUAGCGAACAGGAUUAGAUACCCUGGUAGUCCACGCCGUAAACGAUGAUUACUCGUUGCAUGCGAUACACUGUAUGUGACUUAGCGAAAGCAUUAAGUAAUCCACCUGGGGAGUACGUUGGCAACAAUGAAACUCAAAGGAAUUGACGGGGGCCCGCACAAGCGGAGGAACAUGUGGUUUAAUUCGAUGAUACGCGAGGAACCUUACCUGGACUUAAAUGUAGCGUGACCGUACUUGAAAAGAGUAUUUCUCUUCGGAGCAGGUUACAAGGUGCUGCAUGGCUGUCGUCAGCUCGUGCCGUGAGGUGUCGGGUUAAGUCCCAUAACGAGCGCAACCCCUAUUGUUAGUUGCUAACAGGUCAAGCUGAGGACUCUAGCGAGACUGCCACCGUAAGGUGAGAGGAAGGUGGGGAUGACGUCAAGUCAGCACGGCCCUUACGUCCAGGGCUACACACGUGUUACAAUGGUCGGUACAGAGAGCAGCUACUUGGUGACAAGAUGCGAAUCUUUUAAAGCCGGUCUUAGUUCGGAUCGAAGUCUGCAACUCGACUUCGUGAAGUUGGAUUCGCUAGUAAUCGCAUAUCAGCCAUGAUGCGGUGAAUACGUUCCCGGGCCUUGUACACACCGCCCGUCAAGCCAUGGAAGCUGGGGGGUACCUGAAGUCCGUAACCGUAAAGGAUCGGCCUAGGGGUAAAACUGGUAACUGGGGGCUAAGUC
rnacentral:rRNA from 1 species